GAAGACAGAGACACAAGCGGCCGUUUUMUAUUUCUUUUAYAAAAUUUUUCGASCGAAAAGAAAAUUUUGCCGGUAAGCCGUGUCUCUGUCCUCUGAUAUAAACACGUUCGUCAGCCAAUCAGAGCGCGCGUUAUAUAUCAAAAAUUUUAUAAAGGUAAUUAUAUGAUAAAUGUUAAUAUUGCACAACAUAUGGUGACAGCUGACUCAAAAGGAAAUACUCCAGUUUCGAAUUCUCGUAAUAAUAAUAUUUGUGCAAGCUUACCUUCAAUCAAGCAUUAAUUUUUAUUGUCUCAUUUGAAAUUAUCCAAAUUUUCAAAUCAUUUAGAUUUGGAUAGCAUGUUAUUGGACCAAAGUGUGCGAGUGUGUAUUACAGUAACUUCUGUGUGCUUAAUGGCACUAUAAUUUAAAAAUAGGAUAAAAAAUAUUAUUUUGUGAAAUGCUUGGACCAUAUGAUAUCUGAGGUUGAUUGGUAAAAACAAAACAUGUUAAGGAAACAACAGAUGAAGUACAGCUUCGCGAACAAUGAGAAUUUUGCAUCUGAUUCAUGAGAUCGUCCAAGACAUCAGCACUACAGCACUGCUAACCCUUAUUGACUUAUUUAGAAAACAAAUGUAAACUAGACGCUCAGAGAGCGCUUACAUGGGCUUCCUGAAGCAAUUUCCAAUUGAGAUGCAUUUUCAUGGAGAAAAUAAAGUCUGGAGCCUAUCUAUUUUCAUCAAUAUUUGAUUUAUUACUUUUCCAUACAACCAUUAAUGRAGGUUUGUUUUCUAGCAAUGUUAUUUUUUAUUUGAGUAUUAAAAAUCUGUGUUUCAGGAACAAUUCAGAUUUAGAGAAGUUGCAUUGCGAGUCACUUCUUUCAAUUGCAAUGUAAAUGUAUUUGUUGUCCUAUAAAUAUUGCAGGUUGUAAUGAUCAAAUAAAAAAUAGAAUAAAGGGAUUUUGCAAAACA